rnacentral:misc_RNA from 1 species
GUGAUUGACCUCCGGGUCUUAAUAACUAUAAUCUUCUACCUCUGUGAACCGUUGGUCUUCGGACCGAUUCUUAUAACAAACAUCUGCGUAAUGAACGUAACCUAUAUUAAUCAUAUA